CGCCGGCGGUGGUGGUGGUGGGCUGGGGCUCGAGGAAGAGGGCACGCCAAGGAGGGGCCGGAGGGACGGCGGCGGGUUGGAGGUGGUCGGCGCGGAGGGUGGUGUAGGGCGGCCGUCGGGUCUUUGCAGCGCGGCGGACGGCGGGGAUGGAUCGUCGUGCUGGGGCUGAUGAAGGUGGUGGGCACAACAACGCGAGGAGGGCGCAUACCGGUGGUCGCAAUCUAGGUUGGUGGCGUCUCGGGACGUAGCGGUUGGUGGCGGAUGUCGCGACCUAGGCCAGCAGGGGCUGGUAGAUGGUGGAAGAAGAUGGAACUCGGCAUCCUCUCUGGGGGGGAGAGAAACAUCAAGCCGCGACCUUCGGUCCGAGUACCUGGUACGGCGGCACUGGCCUACCCGGCAAGAGGAGGAGGGAAGAAGGAGUGUACGCUCGUACGCGUUGAGUGUACAGCGAGUGAAGAGACAACUCCUCACGUCAAGUAGCCACCCCGUCAGACCGACCGCCGGUACACAACAAGAACGAGGAUGGAGCCUAGGUUAAGAGGUACUGUAGGUAUCUUCCUUUUUCUUAGAGUAGAGGUUUCACAAGUCACGUCUCUUCUACUUGGUACGUUUUUGAGUUCCACCUAGUACCACCGAAGUGACGACCGCCUUGCUGUCUCCCAAACUUACGAUGGUCCCACUAAGUUUCCCUCAUAUAUCCAAUCUGCUCGGCGACUGUUUCUGUCCGGAGAUAAGAUUUAAAAAUGAACGUUUCUACCUGGUAGUCGAUGUAUUAUACAACCGAUUUGAGAGUGUCCAAACCUCAGCUGGUUCCUUCAGUGUCAAAUUCUCGAGCUCCUCCUCCCCGCACACCUCCAAGGGCGGCGGUCACCGACGUGACGACCAGAAGCAGCGGACGAGGACAGUCUAGGUCGUACUGGAUGGGAUAGCUAAGAGGCAGCGAAGUGAGACGAAGUACACGUAUACACGUCUCUUCUACUGCUGGGACGGGGACAAGAAGCGGUCGGUGUGAGAGGGAAUACGCAAGAACGGACGCCCGUUCAAAAACAUACAAGUAGAUUAUUACCUUUUCUAAGUUUGGAAGUUAAAACAUCCUUGCUAAAAUAACGAGCUCAUU
rnacentral:rRNA from 1 species